CCUACGGGAGGCAGCAGUGGGGAAUAUUGCGCAAUGGGCGAAAGCCUGACGCAGCGACGCCGCGUGAGGGAUGAAGGUCUUCGGAUCGUAAACCUCUGUCAGCAGGGAAGAACGGUCACUGUGCUAAUCAGCAGUGAAUUGACGGUACCUGCAAAGGAAGCACCGGCUAACUCCGUGCCAGCAGCCGCGGUAAUACGGAGGGUGCGAGCGUUAAUCGAAAUUACUGGGCGUAAAGCGGUCGUAGGUGGGAUGUCAAGUCAAGGGUGAAAUCCCCGCGCUCAACGUGGGAACUGCCAUUGGAACUGGCAAGCUGGGAUGUGUGAGAGGAUAGUGGAAUUGCAGGGGGAGGAGUGAAAUCCGU
rnacentral:rRNA from 1 species